rnacentral:lncRNA from 1 species
GUGUACAUGAAGUCAUAUUUUGGUUCAUACCCAGACAUGGCAUUAAGAUAUAUACGAGAUAUUCUAGAUAUGAUGGAGUGUGUAUGAAGGUUAUAAGUAGAUCAAUAUGGAACCGAUCACUUCUAGUAAGAGGAGAUCGCAUUUUGCGUAUUCUCAUCCCUAGAUGACUCAGAAAAAAUUUUUUAACUAAAAGUAAGAACGAGA